rnacentral:rRNA from 1 species
UACGUAGGGUGCAAGCGUUAUCCGGAUUCACUGGGGUUAAAGGGUGCGUAGGUGGGUUGGUAAGUCAGUGGUGAAAUCUCCAGGCUUAACUUGGAAACUGCCAUUGAUACUAUCAAUCUUGAAUACCGUGGAGGUCAGCGGAAUAUGUCAUGUAGCGGUGAAAUGCUUAGAUAUGACAUAGAACACCAAUUGCGAAGGCAGCUGGCUACACGAAUAUUGACACUGAUGCACGAAAGCGUGGGGAUCAAACAGG